AGCUGGCCGGGCGGGGCAGAGGCGGGGCCGGGCACCCCGUUUGCCCCGUGAGCUCGGUGAAAUCCCUCUCGGCUCCCCGUGUGUCUCUGAAAAACGCUCAGAUCUUGCAGAUGCUGCCCAUAAAAUUACAGUCAGGAUCAAGAAUGUGAUGUCGUUAAACUUGUCUUGGUUCAUAGCCAUAGCUAAGAGUCCCUCAAGUUCAUUUUCCGAUCAUUAAUUUGUUCUCUAAUUUGACCCAAAAUGCUGACUCUGCUGUCAGAAUCUUACAGCUUUCUCAUCUUAUGAUUUUUUUUUUCAGCUGCUCCCUCGAGGUCUCCAGAAACUCUGAGUCCAAAGUUGCCUGUGGGGCUUUGAUGGGAGCAUGAGAUCCUUCUGCUCUUGGGCCUGGUUUCUUUCUACUCAGGUAGAUGUGAGCUGCACAAUCCCUCUUGGAUUCACCUCUUCCUGCUGAGUCCCUCUACAAGGUGCAGAAGAACCCUGCCUGUGUUGUAUCAGAAGAAUAUUUGGACACAGAAUUCAGUUAUCUGAGGGAAGUUUUGGUUUCUGUUCAAAUAAAUGAUCAGUCCAACAUGUUUACGAUAAAUGAUUUUGUUAAUUUUUUGGGAAGAUUUCUCUGCUAUUUAAUCUGUCCUGCAGGCUACAGGAGGGCUCCAUACAAGUUAAACUGGCAGCAACAGUGCCUUUCUCCUUCUCCUCCUCCUCACUCCAAGAGUAAAUUUCUUUGCUGGGCUGCACCUUGAAUUCAAUGGUUUUAACUUAGGUACUUCACGUGCACCAUCAGUGCUGGGGGAGCUUUGGGGUCCAGAGCCUCAGCACUGAUUAAAUGUAAAAUUAUCCCUGCAGGAUGAGCUGCUGAGAACAGAAUCCCAGUCAAUGACUGAGGAGUCCAAAGAGCUUUUCUGCUUUUCUGAAUUCUACCCCAAGUUACUCCUUUGCAAGGACAAAACAGAAGGGAAAGGUCCAAAAUGAGCUUUCUUGUGUGAGUGGUUUCUUCUCAAAUAAACAGAAAUGCUGCUGAGUUUUCUAUUUUCUAUGGAAAUUUGCUAGAAAGCUGAGGAGAGGAGGAACUUUUUAAAAUGAUGGAUCCAAAGCUAUUCUUGUGCUAUUUAUACAAAGCCUUUGCAUCAGUAAUUGCAUAUUAGAGAGGUACAAAAUGUCCUUCCAGAGCAAAUGUACUCAGACUAAUUCAGACAUAUUUGGCAAUUCAUGAAGGUGUUUAACUGUUCAUGGAUCUGGGUAGAAAAGUCAAGUACUUCUGACUUUAAGACAGAAAUCAGAUGCUAAUAAUGACCGGUGUUUAUCUCAAGAACCUGCCACUAAGACCAAAAUGUCUAUUUCCAUGCUAUCUCAAAUCAACCCAUGUCUAAAAUCAUUAUUUAUUGCAUAUUAACUACAGAAAACUUCACCGAGUUUUAUAAGCCUCCUCCCCUUCCUUAGUUCUUAUUAACCCCUGUAAGAAACACUCAUCAGGACUGCUGCAGUGUGGAAAAAUAUUUGCAAGUGUGAAAAGGAAAAUUAUGGCAGUAGGAAGAUAUAAUUCCUAUUUCACAUGGAUUCCUAUUUCAAUCAUGAUAGAAUCUUAUUUACUGUCCCAUUCAAAUGAGUGGUGCUUUUCUGCUUCUGGCUGGAACACUUGAAGGAAAUAUAUUGAUGUGAUCAUGGUGUGAUGCUGUUUGGGUACAAGAAGAGAAAAUUUCCAUCAGGGAGAGCUGAUCUGAGCACAGCUGCUGCUGCUGCUGCUGCUGCUUGGAAACUUGCCAGUGUUUUAAAUAGACUUCUACAUUUUCCCAGGUCUAAGAAGUAAUAGAAAAGGCUGUUAAGAGUGGAGUAGGAUUAAGUGUUUAGGAAAAAUUAGGGGAAAGGUAUUGGAGUCUUUGUGCCUGGCUGUGAAUUGCAGAGGAGAAUUGGAGAGACCCAUUUCCAGUGCUCCAAUCUGUGUAGCCAUGAGCCAAGGGACAGGACUCUUCCUUUGAAAUCAUCCCACAAUUCAGCCUGCCCUUAUUUCCAUUAUUCUCACUCUACGUUUUCUUCUUCUGAUCUUCUUAAAACAAACAUCACUGAAUUCCAGCAGGCCAAACUGGGAAUGUGCUCCUCCUAUUCCUACCCUUACAUUCCCAAGCUGUUUCCUUUAGCAUUUACUGGCAGCUGCCCGUAAAGUGGACAGGCCAUAGGUGCUACCAGAACAUAUAUUUAUUUCUCUGGCAUUCCUUUCAAGUCAGCUCUGAGAAUUUCACUACUAUGCAAGAUGUCUGAAACAUUAUCUGUCCCCAGCCUGUGCUCUUCCCAUUUCCACCUUCAGUCUGGAAAAAACAAAUCCAUUUGGUGCCUGAGUCUGUUCGCUCACAUGGUGUGCACACGACUGCAGCUAAAUCAGAAUUAGCUAAAACAGGAAGCUUAUUUCAAAGCCUAUGCAGCCCAGCCAGGAAAGCUUCCAGAAACAUGUGCUCCGAGAUGAUCUCAGCACGUUCAUUAUUCAGACUGUGAAUAGCUUUAAAAGGGCCAAAUUUCUUCAGGUUGAAUCAGCUAGGAAAGUAAUUCAAAUGGAGCAGUAAGAAUCGCUUGAGCAGUUCAGGAAAUGUUUGUUGGAGCCACUAAGAAUGCAGGAGGUAGAAAAAUAAAAUUUACUUUGAUAAAUAUGUAUUCAAAGUUUGGGCUUAUAAGAAACUGGAAAAGUAAAUAGAAGUACCAUAUAUUUUUUUUUAUAAAAUGGUGAUGUUAUAAAUCCUUUUAUAUCAAGAAAAACAAUCCAAUAACAGCAACACCCCACAAGCAGAUAUAAUGGUCAUGAAAAUAUCAGACAUGUUGGGUAAAUUUUGCUAUUUUGGGGAUAAAGUGAAAGUAGUCAUAACUAUCAUUCAGCAAUUUUAUUUAAAAAAUUACAAUCACCAUCAAUUUUGCAGUGAACCUGUUUUUCACAGUGGCUUAACUCAUGAAAGUCUAUGGAUCUAUAGAAAUGCUUCAAACCAUAGAGAAACCCUCUCAUUUAAUACCAAAAACUUGGGAAAAACAUGGACUGGAUGUUCUGAAACCACACUAGAGGGCACUUGAGCUGCUUCUUCUUGAGUCAGAGUAGAGGGAUGCUUAACCAGGAGCAGCAGUGGACUGAACAUGGGAAUUAUCAGGAUUUAUCAAUAUUAGGCUGGUAGAACGAUCAGUGAUUUCCCCCAACAGCUUAAUGAGGGGGAAUAGGUGCGAAUUUCCAGGCCUAAAUUUUGCUUGUAGGUACUGUAAACAAUUAGGAAGAAAUAAUGUAAAAAUUGCUGAUUGAUUGCAAUCAUGUUUUUUCUCUGUACAUGGAUCAACCACAGAAAUGUGGGAUACUUUGGGAAUUUCCACAGAAAAAUCUAGCCUCAAACAGAGCAAAUGUCUGGAAAGCUGAGCUGUUCCUUGCUCCCACUGUAAUGGUCUUGCUCCUGUACUGUCCCCUUUUGGAGUGUGAUGUCUUAAAAGGAUUGAUUUUGUGGGAAUGGAACCAACAGCACUUGACAGCCUUUCUGUAAGGUAUCCAUAAUAAAUACUGAAGGCUAGGAAGGUACUGAACACCCCACUGCUUAUAACUCACUUUCAGAGAUUUGGUUAAAAGAAAUUACUACGUUGGUCUGGUUCCCAAUGUGGGAAACACCCACAGAAGUUUGAGUGUAUUUAGCUGGAGAAAAGGAGGCUAAGGGGGAAUAUCUGGCUCUGCACAACUCCCUGAUAGGAGGGGCAGCCAGGGGGGUUUGGCUCAGCUCCCAGGGAACAGGGACAGGAUGAGGGGAAAUGGCCUCAAAUAGUGCCAGGGGAGGUUUAGAUUGGAUAUUGUGGAAAGUGUUUUCACUGAGUGAUCAGACGCUGGCACAGCUGCCCAGGGCAGUGGUGGAAUCCCUGGACGUGUUCCAAAGUCAUGUGGAUGUGGCACCUGGGGACAGGGGUUAGUGGUGAACACAGCAGUGCUGGGGAAUGGCUGGACUUGAUAAUCCUAAAAGGCUUUUCCAGAUGAAUGGUUCCACGAUUCUCUGAUCUCUCAUGGAUCAAGGCCUCCCUACCUUUGGUGCUGGGCCCCACGUUUCAAGGUGCUGGAGCCCAGCCCUGGCAGAGCAGCUCCUGGGCACCUUCUCUGCCUGUGCAGAGCCUGGUGGGCUCAGGUGCUGCUGCACAGCCCCACUGACAAAUUCAUUUCCUGCAGAUGACCACAUUGUGUUUGUAAAACAAACUCUGCUCAGGAACUGGCUGCCUCUGCAGCAGGAGCCACUGGAAAGGCUGAGUUUCAAACAAUUCUCCUUUUGCCCUGACAGGCACAACCAAACUCCAGCUCACAGCAGCUUCACUCCAUCAUCACUGAAACAAAGCUAUGAGCUGCAAUUAAAUUAAAGUCAGAUUUCUUAUGAAGGACAUGGACCCUUUGUAUGUAUUGUGGAAUACCCAUUUUUUGUGGAUCACACUCCCCCAGUCCCAGGAAAUUGCUGGGCAGUUUUGUGACCUUUCUGUCUGUGUUUGCUGUUCCUCAGCCUCUCAUCUUCCCCCUUCCUGUGCCCUUGUGAGACCCCACCUGCAGCAACUCUUAAAAAACCUAUAGCUGAAUUGCUGUCCUACCACUUCUGCCUUUGAGUACAUGUUUCCUCAUGAGUAUCCAGGCACAGAGGGAGUUUUCCUGCUCCCAGCAGUGAGGUAGGACACGUUUGUUGACAGGCUGACACGUGCAGCACGUCCUUGCAGCGAGGACAAACUGAAAAAGCAUUGGGAGAGCUGGACAAGCCCUCACAGGAUCCAGGAGCCACCUCAGACCUCUCUGCAUUCCAUUUAAAUGCCAGGUGUGCUCUUUUGAUCUGGCUCCAGGAGCAAGGAGGCACAGAGUGAGGCAGGAGCACCUCCAUGUGUGUUCCAUGGAUGAGGAAAGGGGGAGGAUGUCUUGUGGCAGAUGCUGGCUUUGCUUUUUUGGAGCACUCUUGGGUUAUGCUUGCAACCUCUUAAUGAGAUUAAUGCAAAAACUGAGUGGGAUGGAGUGGAUGGAGACACAGAUCUGGUUUUUACUACUGACAUAUUGAUCUAAUCUCUCCAUGCUUUCCAUGUAUAUCCUGGAUAUUUAUGGCAUAAGAACACACCUCUAGAAACACUGAACACCCAAAUCCUCCGGUUUUUAUCACUUUUGUAAGCCCCUUUUUGAAGUACCUUGAAGGGGAUUUUUUGCAGUUUAGUUAUGAUCAGAAUUUAGAGCACAUGUGUAAUAAAAGGAGUUAUUCUGUAGUAACCUCCUGAAAAGUAACAGUGCUGUUUACAGGGGAACUUGUCUGUCCAAAAGGAGCAUAUCCUUUAGAAUUAAAUAAAUUUACCUCCCUAGGAGGAGCUUUCUGUGCCUGUAAUAAGAAGAAAUUACCUUCUUUCUGAUGAGUGGGGGUUUUGCAAAUAUAUUUUGUUGUUGUUGUUGGGUUUUUAAAUUAAUUUUAUGUUGCUUUUUUUAAAGCACAUACCAUGACUUGAAGUUUUUGGUGAACUCCCUCAUUCCCAAGUGUUUUUGGGUGGAAUAGAGAACAGAACUGAAAGUUUAGUGGAAUUCUGAAGCUAAUAACUUGGUUCUUCAGCUUAAAUUAGAUAGAUUAGAUUUCCAUGACAAUCCUUCAGUUAAUUGCACUUAAAACACUUGAUACCACAGUUUCUUCUGAGCUUCCUGUGCUGCUGCAUGUGUGGCCUGACAGGAACUUUCUAAGCAAAACAGCUGAAAUUGCAUCAGAGAGGACUCAGAAUAUGGAAAGGAAAAGAGAAGUGAGGAAGAAUAACAGAACAAUGGACAAUAAGUGUGAGUCUGACCCAAACUGCUGGGAUGCACAUGGAGCUGGAGGACGAUUUAGGCAGAAAAGGAAAGAAUGAGAACAAAACCUUCUCCCCUAGCUUCAAAGCUCUUGGUAAAAGCAUAGGAGCCCCUCAAGUUUCUGAGGUCAAACAUGGAGGAGAUGACUGUGUAGAGAUUUAGGAUGUCUGGAACUGUCAACUUCCCAAUUAAAUUACAAAACAGUGCUCUGAACAUGGAAAAAUGUGCAGGAAGAAAGCCUAUAUGGUACCAUAUGACUUGAUUUGGACAAGAGGUAAAUGUAAAAAAUUUACAUGGGCAGAGCUGGCAACAGAUCUGGACUCGGAAUUUUGACCUGUUACUGAAAAAGCAGCAUUUCAGAUUUUAGAUAUGGAGUUGUUUCUUUGAGCUCUGUGGCUGAAGAAAACAAGAUGAAUGUGAUCAGAUCUCAAGAUCUGUGAGAAUUUUCUGGAAGUCAGUCCUUUUCCUUGAAUCUUUUUGGUAAUAUAAGCUGUACCAGUUGUUGGGUUUAAAGCAAGAUAAGCACCCUGACCAGCUCCAGCACGGCGGCCACUCUCCAGCUGCUCGGACCACAUUCCACAGCAUCAAUGUGAUAGAUGGCAAAUAUGGCAAUUUAUUGCAGGGAAACUUAACAUUUUAUAGCCUGGGUCAUUGUGUUACUCCCAUCUACAUAGUCACACCUGGGUGCUAUUGGCUAAUUACAAGAGGACUUCCUAUCCUAGAGAGAGGGGUGGGUUACUGGCUUUCCGUUACAUCCCGAAUUCUUCCACAGCGCCAGGCCCUAACUACAACAACCAGUUCCCUGCACUUCUUAGUGCCUAUCAAGUGAAGUUGGGUGAUGAUGUGUUGGCCAAUAUUUUCUUUUAUAUAACCUGGAUAAUGGGAACUCUGACAGGGAUUUAUGAAUGACAACAAAGCUGUAAAAUGCUGCCAGAAUGGGGGAGGACAGAAUUCGGAUUAUAAAUGACAGACUUGGGAAAACCUUUAAAAGAGUAGCUACUUAAUCAUAGCAUAGAAGAUCAUGUGUAGGAAUGAUCAUCACAAGGGCAGCAUUGGGAGCAAAUGGCCAGGUAAGGUCUGCAGUGAGGAAUUUAGGAGAUGCUGUGAGCAUCACAGCACUCACAGCCCCUGUGGGGUUCUGCUCCCCAGGAAAGGUAGGAACCACUAGGGGACAAUCCAGACCAACUUUCAGCUCUCUGAUCCCUCUUGGAGCUGUAAACAUGAGAUCAUUCCAGGAUAUCUCCUGCAUAUGUCCUACAUAUGUCUCAAGUCUUCACUGUGAACUCUGCAAAUACUGCAAAGAAUAAUAUAAAAACACAGCCCAGAUGAGGUGGUAUCAGAAUAUAGGAAAAAAGCUUAGAAUGUAGGGGGAAAAAAAACCCAAGUGACAAAAGCUGGAUGAAUCUGGAAACUUGCUCCUUUGUAGCUUUGUGGUUAGAAUCCUGCUUUUUGUCUUUCUUUGGCUGUCCUGUUUGAUUGCUCAGAAUUCUGUGAAGUCUAAAUCCAUUUCCUUGAUUCUUACAGUCUAGCUGAAUUUCUUUUCCAGCCCUCCCCUGCACUUGCAGGCCAGGUAGGUAACUUCUCAUGCAUACUUCAUAAAGGAUGCCUUGCAAAGUUGUUGGUGCUGCUCAAAAGCUGGAAAGCACAGGAUUUCCUCUGAUGCUUGCCUGUAUCUGGCUUUCUUCUGUGACCUUCCCAGGUCCUUGAGAAUUAAGCACUUGUGCUGGAAUUGAGGUGAUGUGGGAGGGUCACCAUUCCCAAAUCUUUUUUCUUUCCACCCACAUCUCUUGGGUGUUUCUGUGCCUGCCAGUUGUGUGUCACAGUCAUGCCCUGUUGCAAACACAUAGGGAGACACAGACUUGUUCUGGCUCAGGAUGUUUUAAUGCUUUUAAGGUAAAAAAGGGACCAGCCACCAACCUUUCCUGCCCUGACAACUACCAGCUCUUCCUGAUCCUGCAGAGGGAGGGACAUGGAUAAAGAUAGGUUUAGAUCAGAUGUCAGGAAGGAAUUGUUCCAUGUGAGGGUGCUGAGGCCCUUGCACAGGGUGUC